UGGCGGACGGGUGAGUAACGCGUGGGUAACCUGCCGUAUGCAGGGGGAUAACACUUAGAAAUAGGUGCUAACACCGCAUAAGCGCACGAGAGCGCAUGCUUUUGUGUGAAAAACUCCGGUGGCAUACGAUGGACCCGCGUCUGAUUAGCCAGUUGGCAGGGUAACGGCCUACCAAAGCGACGAUCAGUAGCCGGCCUGAGAGGGCGGACGGCCACAUUGGGACUGAGACACGGCCCAAACUCCUACGGAAGGCAGCAG
rnacentral:rRNA from 1 species